rnacentral:rRNA from 1 species
AUACGAAGGGUGCAAGCGUUAAUCGGAAUUACUGGGCGUAAGGCGCGCGUAGGUGGUUCAGCAAGUUGGAUGUGAAAGCCCCGGGCUCAACCUGGGAACUGCAUCCAAAACUGCAUGACUAGAGUACGGUAGAGGGUAGUGGAAUUUCAUGUGUAGCGGUGAAAUGCGUAGAUAUAGGAAGGAACACCAGUGGCGAAGGCGACUACCUGGACUGAUACUGACACUGAGGUGCGAAAGCGUGGGGAGCAAACUGGAUUAGAUACCCUGGUAGUCCACACCGUAAACGAUGAAUACUAGGUGUAGGGUAUAUCAUGUACUCUGUGCCGUCGCAAACGCAAUAAGUAUUCCACCUGGGGAGUACGGCCGCAAGGUUGAAACUUAAAUGAAUUGGCGGGG